GGCACUUGCCAUGACUUUAUUUUUGAAUAUUUCUGUGUUCAUGUGGUAGGGAAAACAUUGUUGUAUACUACAAAUUCCCUGUUUUGCUUUUAGGUUGGAGACUACAUAAGACUUUGACAGUUGGCGGGAAACCAUCAUCAACUGGAGAGAUGCCGGUAGAGGAAUGUCUGCGACUAAGUCAAGGGCCACUGGAUAAGGGUUGUUGAUGGCAAAACAGGUUGGAGACUACAUAAGACUUUGACAGUUGGCGGGAAACCAUCAUCAACUGGAGAGAUGCCGGUAAAAAGAUGGCCAUAAAACAGUGACCGCUGAUUCGCAUUGAGUUCUUUCUUACAUAUUGGAUGACCUAUGUUUUUUAUUGCUUAAAUCAUUGCGGCUUGGAAUGCUCUUUAAGAAAAGGUAUGGUUAUGGGGGUGUCUACGCGCAAAAGUUUGACUUUAUUUUUUGUUAAAGUUAUUGCUUUUACAUUGAAUUUGUGCAGGAAAUCUUUUGGUAUGUU